rnacentral:rRNA from 1 species
GACGAACGCUGGCGGCGUGCUUAACACAUGCAAGUCGAACGGAAAGGCCCUGCUUUUGUGGGGUUCUCGUUUGGCGAACGGGUGUGUAACACGUGAGUAACCUGCCCUUGACUUUGGGAUAACUUCAUGAAACUGGGGCUAAUACCUGAUAGGAGCUCCUGCCGCAUGUUGUGGGUUGUAAUUUUUCGGCUGUUGGGGAUGGACUCGCGGCUUAUCAGCUUGUUGGUUGGGUAGUGGCUUACCAAGGCUUUGACGGGUAGCCGGCAUGAGAGGGUGACCGGGGAAAUUGGGACUGAGAUACGGACCAGAAUGGAACGGGAGGCAGCAGUGGGGAAUAUUGCAGAAGGGGAGGAAGCAUGAUGAAGCAACGGCGCGUGCGGGAUGACGGCCUUGGGGUUGUAAAAAGAUUGGGCCUGUGACGAAGCGUGAGUGACGGUAAUGGGUAAAGAAGCACCGGCUAACUACGUG